CUAUCACACAGCACAGCAAACAUGAGUAGCCUAUUCAUUAUUCAUGUCAUUGCAGUUGCCCUGUUAUGAUACAGUCCUAUUUGGAGUGGGCUAUACCUGAUUUGCUCAGCGCGUCCGUCAAAGCAGUGCGUGGCCCUGCGUCGGCUGGCUGUGCGCGCUCAUAGGUCGGACCAAGAAGAAUCGGAGGGGGAGCAAGUAAAGUGCGCGCCUACGAGACUGCGCGUCGCAAGGAGGGGUAGAGGUUCAGCUGAAAAAAAAAAGAAAAAAAAAGAAAAAAAAGGAAGGCGAAAAAAAAAUACACCGUGACAAUGGCAACAUCAAGCAUCUCGUAAAAGGUAGAUAACAGGCGAGGGGGCGCCACGAAUCGGGAGUUUGAGAGGCGACGGCCCCUGUUGGUCCCGAGAAAAGCGGCGAUAUUAGGACAUGCUGGCUGCCCUAUAGCGCGUUUCCUGGAAUACGAAUUCUUCCGUAAUUGAAAAUGGAGCGGCGGGGGAGAGGAGAGUCGCGCUGUCUCCAUCAUUGAGAGGCGCGUCCACCUGCUAUUACUGGAGGCCCGGGCUGCUGCUGCUGCUGGUGGUGGUGGUGCUGGUGGUGGCGGCAGGGGAGGGAGGGUUGGGGGACAUGCAGGGGAAGUGUUUGCAUUUCGGGGGAAAGACGCAUCUCUGAUACUGUCCAGGGCAGCUGAGAAGGAUCCCAUUGCGACGGGGGAAAAAACGCAGUUUGGGCGCACACGCUCUGGAGGUGGGACAGUCAAAAUGAUGCGUGGGUGGUGCAGCGUUGAGCCGUAUUGAUGGAUGUGUUAACAGACAGCAGUCUCACAUUGAUUGUGAAGACUUCAGAACCCGAGAAUCCAAAUGCAGUGGAGAGCACAGGUAACUAUUCAGGGCUAUGUGAGCAGAGUAGCGAUCUGAGUCUGUGCGGGCUCGUCGAUGCUGCUCUCCCUCCGUCCUCGCCUCCUCCUGACGCAGAGACUUCACAACAGGCCUGCCCAGCGCAUCAGAGGACCACUCCUACAUCGCCAGCCCUCCCCUUGCCCCUUGGGACUGAGCCCUCUCUGGGCCUAACAGCAUCCCCUUCCUCCAAUGACCCUCCAACUGUGGUCCCCCAUCUUCACCACACGCCCGCUCCCUCAUCACUCUCUAGCCCAGCUGUAAGCUCCUGGGCGCCGACAGGAGACAACCAGAAAACGUCCCUUCCAUUACCUGUUGCCCUCCCUCUAUCAGCGACAAUGAUGGAGCCUGGCACCGUGUCUGGCCUGACGGAAGAGUGUCUUCUUCAGCCUAACCGAACCUGCCUCGGCUGCUUCAUUGAAACACGUGAUGCCACUGACCCUAACGCCAUCCAGAACACACCCCACGACCCCACCGCCAACCCUGACACGGAGACUGGUCUAAGUGUAAGGAUAGGGGAUGUGAGCCGAGAGGACUUCUCUGACAUCAACAACAUCAGCAUUCAGUGCCUGAGCCACGCGGGGGAGGCAGUGAGUCACUAUGGAGAACAGCUCCUCUCUGACCAGCUACUUAGCUUUCCUCUGCCAAAAGCCCCAGGUGAGGGCAAGAGAGGGGAUGCAAACAAAACAACAGGGGACUGCGAUGACCCCGAAGAUGAUGCAACAGCUAAGAAUUUGUAUGAAGGACUGUUACUAGACAAGGUUAGUGGAGAAGAAGUUCUGCUGGCUAAUGCCAGCCAGGACUGGGGCUACUUUGAGUCUUUUAUCAGUGAGAGUAAGAUGGAACUGCUGGACCUUUGUUCUAAGAAUGAACUGUCGGUCAACCUCUUCUCAGAGGAAGACGUCGACAAUCUGUUUGACGACGAAGACGACGAUUCGACAUUAAGCAGUGAUGUCUGUUCGCUCAAGAUUCGCUAUGAGUCUUUCCAGGACAACAUGAGGGAAAAAACAAAUGUUCUGCAGGAGGAGACGCAGUUCAACUUCUUCCCCAGCGUCCUGGCCAACUGUGCCAAGAAAGAGGAAGGAGCAGCAGUCUUGAGGAGAACCGCAGAGGAUCUUCAGCCCAAAACUGAUGAACUCAUCCUGGAGGGAGCACAGGAAGGAAAGGCCGGGGACUGCAGUGCUAGGAGUCCACUUGAUGGUUCCCACGGCUCGCCUAUGUCCACUCCCAAAGUCAGCUACCUAAUGGACUUCAAUUCCACAGAGGAGUCAGGGGAGUUCAGUGAUGACAGCUCCUGCACUGGCUCGUCCUCAGACACCCUGCAGGAGGGAAAGUUUAAAAAGAGCCACUCAAAGAGAUUCCUCAGUCCCUCGAACCCUCUCAACUAUGGCUUGCGUUCCAAAAGAAAGGUUCGAUACAGCGAUGAUUACUUAUAUGAUGUUGACUCGCUUGAGAGUGAGAAAAAUGCGGAGAAAAAGGAGAAAGCCCCCGCUGGUCAGAAAGAAGAGGAGGAUGUAGACUGGUGCCCCAAAAAACGCCGGAAAUCCUGCCGCAAAGAGCCACCCGUGGUCAUCAAGUACAUCAUCAUCAACAGGUUUAAAGGAGAGAGACUCAUGUCAGUGAAACUGGGCAAGCUGGACCCUGUGGAUGCGACUGUGAGCUUAAAUGCCGACACAGUAAGCAAAUAUGAGACACUGGCUCCUCUGAAGCAUUUCUGGCAGGAGAAGCAAAGAGAGAGACAGGAACAGCUUAAGCUGGCUGCCAGAGAUAAACAACAACGCGGUUUUCAUCUAAACGGACGCCACCAUCGCCCUUUUAAUUCUAGUCAUCCCAAAAGGAAAUACAAGAUUGCAAACCGGCUUAAGGUUCAGAGGAUUCACACUGUGGAGCAAUCAGCAACAGCACAGUCCUCCCCUCUCUCUGAUCGGGGCCAGGGAGGUGUCACUAAAGAAGAGGCCACCCCCACGGUAGGAGGAAUAAUAGCAGCCCCAGGCCUCCCAGUCACAUUAGACACAAACUCCAUCACACACACAGUCACAGCCAAGAGCCGCUCCCAGGAGAGGGAGGAGAGGGAGGGGAGGAGAUUGGGAGGAAAUAAAACAGUCAGGAUAAGGAAAUUCAAAAGUGAAGCCAGGCUGAGGAGCAAGAAAAUAAAAGAGGCAGAAGGAGAGGAGGGGAGGAGCGUGACAAAUGAAACGGAUGCCUGUGCCACUGCGGCACAGAUUGAGGACCCCACUGCUGGGUUAGAAGAGGCAGGCAUUAGCUCAACUACAGUCAAACCGCAUUUCUCUGACAAUACCGCCACCGCUCAAGCCGCUGAGGAGAAAUUCCCCUUUGUUUCAUCCACCUGCUCUCCUGACAAAGCUGCCUCCUCCUCAGAGGAGGUGGAGACGGGUGUCCCUGUCAUCCCGGGGGGCUACCUGCAGACCCUGUUAGAUGCCACAGACUCCUCAGGUGGAGCGGCUAUCUCUUAUUUCCCCCAGCAGUCCUCUAGGCAGCAGUAUUCUCUGGGGCUGUCCCUGGAGGAGAAACAGUUUUCUUCUCUGCAGCUCGCUCAGAGCUGCGUCCUCUCGCCUCCCUCUGAGUCCGAGCUCCAGCAGUCUCCUCAGAACUGCCCCAGCUUCCCCCAGAUGUGGCACCCACAGCUCUGUGCAAGUCACAGCCAGAGCUUUGGGCCUGAGACCCCCGAGACUCCCAUCUUACCCAACAACUUCCCAGCUGCUGUUCCCCUGAAUGACAGCCUGCCAGUGUCUAACUACAGCCAGCUGAGCCCUGAGGCUGACAGGCUGCUUUAUGAGAAGAGCUACCUGAGUGAGUCUGGGCUGCAGCCCGGGGCAGAUCUGCAAGUGUGUCAGUCUGCCUGCGUGGAGGGCCAGGUGCAAUACCAGCGAGGGUCCCUGUGCACAGACAAUGGCAGGCUCAUCAGCUAUGACUCAGUGGGCUCUCUGUCAGCCUCCUCCAGCAAUUACAGCUCACUCAGCCUCAAGUCUUGUGAGCGAGAGGGUGAGGAGGAGGGCCGAGACAGCUUCUUAGCUCAUUGCAGUCCUAAAGUGGUGAUUCAGCAGAGUGUGGAUGCCCUUACCCCACUCAGGGAGUCCUCAGACCUGCUGGAUAUCUCUAACUUCACCCCUGACAAGUUUAGGCACUCAUCACUGUCAGAGCUUUCCCCUCCUGAGACCCCAAAUCUGUCCCCUCAGGUUGUUGGGCGUGAGAUGAAGAUGGCAGGGAAUGUUGGAGAAUACCAGGAUGUGAAUGAUAUAAGCAUGGACUGCAAUAGGGAGGUAAAGUGGAACUGUGACGUCAUACAGCAACAGGAGCGCACGGCAAGCGCAUACCCGGUGGAGGACAACCAGUUUCCGCUGCACAACUUCAACAAUCAAGAUGUCUUAGGUUUAGAUAAAAAGGAGAUGGCAGCUACAGAAUUUGAUGAACAGAAUGGCGCGAAAAGCAUAAAGUCAAAAAGGAAAGGCAGCUGCAAACAAACAGCAGGAGGACAGAGCCCGAAGAAGGUACGGGCGCCGAGAGCCCCCAAGUCAGAGAAGGUCAAGACUCCCAAACAGAACUCUCGUUCCACCAAAAAGAUAAAGGCCAUGUUAGAGGGUAAGGCAGCAAAGAACCAGGCAGGUGGCACAGGCCUGACUGACAGUAGCAGCACUGGGGACUGGCCUGGCACCGGAUGGUCGGAGAGUAACAGCCUGGUGGGGGAUGACCAGAGAGAAUUUGAGGAGCCCUCCAAUAUUCUGUCCAACAUUGUCUCUGGCAUGGCCGAGGUCCAAAGGUUCAUGAUGGCCUCCAUUGAGCCACUGUGGAACCCCAUGUCGGAGGCCUGCAUGCCCUCUGAGGCCAACAGUCUCAACCUAAAGACCCUCAAAAUCUUGGCAGGAACUGAGGCUGACCUGAAGAAAAAAGGAGCUGUGCUCACAGGGGCUGGGAGAGGCAGAAAGGCAGGGGGGAAAGGAGGCAAAAACCAGGCCAAAUUCAACCCCUCUCAUCCUUUAUUCCCUCAACUUGCUCUAGGCUGUAACAUGUUUGAUAAACCCAACUUUAUUAACCCCGGGCCUGCUCACAAAAAGCUGUACCGCCACAAGACGAGUGCAAAGUUCCCUCGGAUUGAGACACUGAAGGGGAAGCGAGCUGAGAGAGACCCAAAUAAGGACAUAGCACUGAUGACCUCUUUUGAGAAACUGAGGUAAUAUUUUGUUAUCAGCUGCUGUUGUACCCCCUCCCCUCCCCUUCUCACUUUCCCCCACUACCUGCUCAGCCCUCCCUCCCAAACAUACCUACACUGACGCUAUGCCAGAGCUGCAUGAGUUCUACGUUUCCCCCCUGACUACUCCCACUUCCUUUUAACCCCCUGAAGAGGAAAUUAAUAUCUGCAUGAGAAACUUCUUGUACUUUGCAAACUACCUAUUGAGUGAUUGUGUCAAGCUUGAUUGAGAUUUGAAACGACCAUGGCUGCAUUUUUCUUGCUUUUGUUGUUUCUGCUUUGUUUGUUCUUCUUAUAGUCGUUUUUUCUUUUCUUUCCUUUUUUGUUUGAUUUUUGUCUGAAAAAGAGAAAUAAGCCUUGAAAAAAGUUCUGUCGCCUUUUUGAGGAACUUUGUUUUUGUAUUUUCUCAGCAGAACUAGCUUCCCUGAAUUACAUAUUUAUUUCCCUUUUCCCUAAAGAUGUAGCUAUAUACAUAAAUGCAUUGAGUGACAUCUACGCACCCCUCCUCCUCAUCUGUUUUUGUAUGCAGAAUAUGGAUGUCCUGUUGUUGCUGUCCGUCAUACACUGCCUGGCUCAUUUCAAGAGGGAAACCUUCAAUAAAUGAGCCCAAUUUAAGCCCGAGACAUCUUAAACACGAGAUGGGACCAUUUUGUAUUGAUGACAUAUCAGACAUUGUCUUUUUUUUCCCCCCCUCAAAGUUGGAAUGGCUCCCCCUUUCCUUUUGUCAAGUUUUUGUUUUCUUCUUCUGGAGUUUAGAGGAACUGGUUAUCUAAAUUAACAUUUUUACGCCUUGCAAAUUCAUAAAAGCUCCACCCUCAGAGUAUUUUUGUCAAUGUUGUUGUACAGGGACAUGCAAUAUUUGCAAAAAAAAAAAGAAAAAAAAGAAAAAAAGAUAAUUAUAAUCUUAAAAUCAUUGUGCCAAAAGUAACAAUGCUGUGUAAAUGACCUCUUAUAUAUGUGUGAAUAUUGGCUGUUCCUCUUUUCUAUCCAUUGGAAUAUUGGCUGCUCGGGUUGGAGACUCCUUACAGAGACUUGCAACUACAGGAAUUCUUUAUUUGAGACUUUUCUCUCUCUUCUCUGAUGAAAGGCACCAACAGCUGGCAGUGGUACACCACCACUCACUAAACCAAAUCAGAAAGACUCUGAAUUCUCCUCGUUUCCCCCACUUUGUUUGCCAAAUUCAAUUUACCUCAACAUCGCCUGGCACUGAGAAGCAACAAAAGAGAGGCAAAGGGGAGAUCUGCUCUGAAGGCUACUGUAGAGGAAGGAGAUGAAAAAAAAAGAGAGAGAUGUUCAAAUGAGCUUUCUCUGGACCAAGAAGAGUGUAGCGCAGAUGUCUGAGGUGUAUCAGGGUUAGGACCAAGACAAGCUGCUGAUGGGAAGCUCCACAUGGGCUGCAAGCCCAUUUAGUCUGCCUUCUCUCAUUUCUGCCUAUUGUCAAAUUGAAUGUACUUCUCUGAGUUCAUAAUUUUCUUUCUUUCUUUUUUUUCGGUUUGUUUUUAAAAUGUGCCACUGUUGAGCUGCCUCAUGUUAAUGGUGCUAAGAAAGCUGACAAUUGUUUUCUUUUCUUUACCGUUCAGUUUCGAUUUUUUUAUUUUCAUUUUUCGGUAUGUUUCAUUUCACCAGUGUUAACGAAAAAAAAAAAAGAAAUGCAAAAUAGAUUAGGUUCCUAACCCUCUUUAUGAAUGUAUAUUAUAAUGUUAUGUUUGAUGUAUUCACUUCAUGAUUCUUUGACACUGAUUGGAAUUACUUUUGCUCUUUUCAUUAAAAGAUUACCGAGCUUUAUAUAUACUGUCUAGAGUUGUUACCAGAAGGAAUCUUAAUGAACUCUUGACACUACAAAAUCUUGUAUAUUUUUUGUGUGCCAAUUUGUAACAUAUUUUGUAAGUGUAUAUUUUUCUUAGAAAGUGCUGUGAAGUAUUUGUGUGUGUGAGUAACCUUUUAUGCGCCUCUAUGGGCAGUGGAAAGGAUAUACAAUGACAAGUUUCUGGUUUUAAAAACCAAAAUAUGAAAGUAUCAACAGAAAACUAGAAAUAUUUACAUUUUGUUGGGAGUUUUGUAAUAAGACCAUGAUCUUGUUGUGAGAGUGUUGUGUUACUGUGCAAAACACAAAUAAGCAAAGAAAAAAAAUGAAAACUUGGAAAAAAAUAUAAUUUGUGAACAAUUUGCUGUUUUAUAGAUUUUCAUGUAAAUUAUUUGAGUAUUAUUUUGUUUUUUUUGUUUUGUUGUAACUGUUGCAAAGGUUUUAAAUAUUUGUGAUCAAGCCUGUAUGGUGAUAAUGUAAUAUUGGUAACUUGCUGAGUUUUGUAAUAAUGUUUAUGGAGUAAAUAUACAAAUUAAAAUAAGAUUUUGAAUGCUGCUUUCUGAA